UUUUUUUUUUAUGAUUUUUGUUGGUGGAAAUGGAACCCUUAAAAUCAUGCAUUUGUCUUUUCCUAAUACAUUGUCCUUUUACUGGCAUUCACAAUUUCUUGGAAAUUUGUUACCCAUAUCUCGAGCAUCUUCGCAAUUUAUGUGAACUGGGUAACAUGAACAUUGCUUACCCCCUAACUUCACAGGGAAAAAUUUAGGAGACUUGUGGCAUAAUACAUUGAUAACUUACAAAUUCCAAAUUUUUAUUCUAAGCUCAAUUAGAUCGGUGCACCAUUUCAUGCAAAUAUGUUGCCCAUUAACCAUUUAUGGCUUUGGCAAAG
rnacentral:misc_RNA from 1 species